UUUCCGUAGGUGAACCUGCGGAAGGAUCAUUACCUGUACACCUGGGCUUCGGCCCUGUGUUCUACCCAUGUCUUUUUGGUGCACUUGUUGUUUCCUCGGCGUGUGCUCCGGUGCACGCCGUGAGGAGCCUAUCUAAACCUUUUUGAAAUGCAAUCAGCGUCUCAUAUACCUAAUCGUAACAACUUUCAACAACGGAUCUCUUGGUUCUGGCAUCGAUGAAGAACGCAGC
rnacentral:misc_RNA from 1 species